rnacentral:rRNA from 1 species
AUCCAAGGCCACAUGAACACAAAUGCACAGUCUCCUCUGCGAUUGGUAGCUAAGGAUGCUAGGCCAUGAUUGGACUAGGAUGGGAGAUGAUCUGGCGACAAUAGCUUCUGUGGACU